CGCCUCCCUCCUCAGCACCGCGCAUGCCCGUACGGGCGGCGCCAGGACACCGCGCCUGCGCGCUGCCGUGCGGCAGCCGCCAUGCCGGAGGGGAAGGCAGCGUUCCGGGAGGUGCUGCCCAAGCAAGGGCAGCUGUCGGUGGAGGACGCGGCCGCCAUGGUGCUGUGCAAGCCCAAGGUGCUGCCCCUCAAGUCGGUGUCGCUGGAGAAGCUGGAGAAGCUGCAGCGGGCGGCGCUGGAGGCGGCGCGGCCGCCCGAGGGGGCACCGCCGACCCGGCCCUAGCCCCCGCCCCGGGCAGGGGCGGCGGGCACCGCGCCCUGCGGCGGCCGCACCCGCCACUCGGAGCUGACAGUUUUCCACUGUCACCUACAUGGAUCAUUGUGAUGCCUGAAUCUUCCAUCUCAGUACUGCCCUGAUCUCUACCAAGCAAAUCAGCAAAACAGAGGAGAGGCAGGUCUUCAUUCUCUGGAGAGCACACAGACGUGCUGCCUGGGACUCACCACAGGCUUAUUUUCCUCAAGUAUUUAUCCCAGCCUCCACAUAACAGGUUUCACACCAGUGGAGCUUCUUAAUAAACUUCUUACCAGUCCAACCCUCUGUUUCUCCAUCCUCUAUAGUUUCCAGUUCCAAUCUGUAAUACUUUGGUCAUAAAAUCCUGCUUUCUGUUACCUACAAUGGGAACAAAAGGCAGUGCCUUCACCUAUCUACAAUAAAACAAGUACCUUGAAGGGCAGAGGUCUCUCAGUGGUUUGGAGAUUAUUCCAGCCUGAAAGCAUUCCUCUACAAACCGCUCAAGCACAGAAUAGGAGUGUGGCACAUCCAGGUUAAUAUCUGGGAUUUCACAGUAAACUCGUUCAUAGCCCUACAAUGUAAGAAUUCAAAUAAUGAUCUGGUUAUUCUAUGUUUUUAUAACAAAUUUUUUAAAUACCCUUUUGCACUCAGAGGAUUUAUUUUUCAAUAUAGUUUUGUCUAUAUUAUGGACAGUUUCAACAAACCUAAAGCAGAGCAGCUGCAAGUCAGUGGAAAAGGAAGGUAUAAUACCAGCCACUACCAUGGUAUUACACAGCUACCUAUCUACAUAAAAACACCAGGUGAAUUUUUAACUUCUUUAGAAGUCAGAAAUCCAGACAGUACAGAAUGUGUGUGUUAGCCUGGCUGCUAUUGCCUGGGUAGUAACACAAGGAAGAAAAGGUAAUUUUUCUUCCAUGUAAAUGAACAAAAUGUGGCCACAAAUCACCACAACAGUUUAUGCAGUAAGGGAAACACUAGUGACAACCACAGAUGACUUCAUCACUUCCUGCCAGCAGUAUGGCUGGGUAAAUUUUAACACCAGUCUUUUUUGUGUGGUACCUAGUUUGCCCUGGGACAGAACAGCUGUCUUGUAUUCAUACCUAGAAGCAAAGCCAUGGAUGAUGCCAACUGUGCAAAAUAUUAGCUGUUCUAAUUGACGUGUAAUUAAGUCAGUCCUUAUUGUACUGCUUUAAUUAUGAAGAACUGGAUAAAAAGAAAAAUUUAUUUAAGAAAAAUGAAGCUAUAUUGCAGCAUUUUAAAUGAUUAGGUUUAACCACUUAAUUGCAUAAAAGCAGUUGGAAAUCUUUGACCGAAGAUUCAAAUAUUCUGUACCUCGCAGUUCUACAGAGAGCUACUGCUCAGAAUUCAUUUGUACUUCUGCCAGUACAUGACAAGCAUUGUACAUACAUCAGUGACAAAUUAUUUGUAUUGGAUACAGAAUAACCAUGGAGAACUUAAAAGUAGCAGUCAGCAAUAGAAUACAAAUAGUACUUAAAAGAUGGUAAAAACUAGGCAAAUUUUGGAAGACCUUACCCAAAAUUCUCUAAAUGCCACACUUACUCUUUUCAUUUGGUCCAUAGUAAUGACAGAAGACCUCCAGAGAGACUUGAACAAAUCCAGUAUCAUUUUGAAGGUCUUUUCUCCAGUUGACUCCAAAACCAUCACAAUGGCCUAAAACAAAUCAUGCAACUGUUUUAACUACAAAGAAAACAGUGGUUCAAGUACAUGUCAUAGAUUGCUCCUUCAAACUUCUCACCCUGACAUGGAAAACAAUUAUACUUCUUGAUGAAUAAAGCAUUACAGAGAAAGUCUGGGAAAGCACUGCACAAGCUUCAAACCUUUACACGGCAAAACAGUUAAUCCCUUGUGUAUUUCACAACAUAUUUACAGCAGCUGUCCUGAUGCUAUAUUUACUCAUUAAUCACAUUAAAGCUUUUUCUAAAGACAAAACCUUCCAUAA